UUAUGAAAGCUUUUACAGCAGUUGCCUUUUAAGCAAAAGAACUAUUUUGUCAUAGA
rnacentral:tRNA from 1 species